AUCUCUCCUAAAGCUAAAUACUGGCGUAAGACCGAUAGCGAACAAGUACCGUGAGGGAAAGAUGAAAAGGACUUUGAAAAGAGGGUCAAAUAGUACGUGAAAUUGUUGAAAGGGAACCGUAUGAAAGUAGACUGGCUUGGUGAUGAUCAAUGUGUGUUUCGGCACGCAUGCACUCAUUGCCUUUGCCAGCCAGCGGCAGUUUUUGCUAAAGGAAGAAAAUCAGGGGAAUGUGGCUUCGACUUCGGUUGAAGUGUUAUAGCUCCUGGUAAAAUACUUUGGCAGAGACUGAGGCUAGCAGUGGGUUUUUGGGAACUUUGCGCGCUUGUCGUCCAAUGGUCAAGUUUUCUUCGGAUGCUUGGUUAUUGGGUGGCAACUCGUGUGAUGCUUCACCCUCCCG
rnacentral:rRNA from 1 species